AGUUCAUUCAUGGCUCAGAUUGAACGCUGGCGGAUGCUUUACACAUGCAAGUCGAACGGCAGCACGGACUUCGGUCUGGUGGCGAGUGGCGAAUCGGGUGAGUAAUGUAUCGGAACGCCUAUAGCGGGGGAUAACUACGCGAAAGCGUGAAGCAAUACCGGCAUACGUCUUCAAAGCGCUGUAACUUUCGGCCUGCACUAUUAGAGCGGCCGAUAUCGGAUUAGCCAGCUAUGGCAACGGCCUCACCGCGACGAUCCGUGGCUGGUCGAGAGGACGACCAGCCACACUGGGACUGAGACACGGCCCAGACUUUGCCGGGAGGCAGCGGGGAAUUUUGGACAAUGGGGAAACCCUGAUCCAGCCAUCCUCUGGCGUAAAGGGAUGAAGGCCUUGGUUAUAAAGCACUUUUGGCAGGAAAGGAACGGCACGGGAUAAUACCCUGUGCAACUGACGGUACCCGCAGAAUAAGCACCGGCUAACACGUGCCAGCAGCCGUGGUAAUACGUAGGGAAAAUGCAAGCGUUAAUCUGAAUUACUGGGCGAAAGCGUGCGCAGGCGGUUCGAAAAGAAAGAUGUGAAAUCCCAGAGCUUAACUGGAACUGCAUUUUUAAUCAUCGAGCUAGAGGCGUCGAGGGAGGUGGAAUUCCGCGUGUAGCAGUGAAAUGCGUAGAUAUGCGGAGGAACGACCGAUGGCGAAGGCAGCCUCCUGGGAUAACACUGACGGCUCAUGCACGAAAGCGCGGGAGCAAACAGGAUUAGGAUACCCCAGGUCCACGCCCAAACGAUGUCAACUAGCUGUCAGCUCGGGCCGGUAGCGCAGCUAACGCGUGAAGUUGACCGCCUGGGGAGUACGGUCGCAAGAUUGUGAAACUCAAAGGAAUUGACGGGUAUCCGCACAAGCGGCGGAUGAUGUGGAUUAAUUCUACGCAACGCGAAAAACCUUACCUACCCUUGACAUGUCUGGAAUCCCGAAGAGAUCUUGGGAGUGCUCGCAAGAGAACCGGAACACAGGUGCUGCAUGGCUGUCGUCAGCUCGUGUCGUGAGAUGUUGGGUUAAGCCCAGCAACGAGCGCAACCCUUGGGUCAUUAGUUGCCACGAAAGGGCACUCACCAGACUGUUGAGACAAACCGGAAAGGAAGGUGGGGAUGACGUCAAGUCCCCAUGGCUCCUUAUGGGUAGGACUUCACACGUCAUACAAUGGUCGGGACAGAGUGGUCGCCAACCCGCGAGGGGGGUCAAUCCCAGAAACCCGAUCGUAGUCCGGAUCGCAGUCUGCAACUCGACUGCGUGAAGUCGGAAUCGCUAGUAAUCGCGGAUCAGCAUGUCGCGCGGUGAAUACGUUCCCGGGUCUGUACACACCGCCCGUCACACCAUGGGAGUAUUUACCAGAAGGGUAGUUAGCCUAACCGUAAGGAGGGCGAUUACCACGGUAGGGAUUCAGACUGGGGUGAAGUCGUAACAAGGUAGCU
rnacentral:rRNA from 1 species